UACGGAGGGUGCUAGCGUUGUCCGGAAUCAUUGGGCGUAAAGGGCGCGUAGGUGGCCCGGUCAGCGUGCGGUGAAAGCUCGGGGCUCAACCCCGAGUCGGCCGUGCGAACUGCUGGGCUCGAGCACUGUAGAGGCAGGCGGAAUUCCGGGUGUAGCGGUGGAAUGCGUAGAGAUCCGGAAGAACACCGGUGGCGAAGGCGGCCUGCUGGGCAGUGGCUGACACUGAGGCGCGACAGCGUGGGGAGCAAACAGG
rnacentral:rRNA from 1 species